rnacentral:lncRNA from 10 species
GAAGGAAUGUGCCUGCGUACAACAGGAUCAUGUCAAGGGACCACUCUCAUCACCUCUGCUUCACUGUCAAUGUGAAACACUUGUGAGGCUGGAAGCUGCCAAACCUGAGGGAGCCUGCAUUCCUGUGCCCCCACAGUGAGUCUUCACUGUGACUUCCCAAGCAAAGCACUGGGGGCCUCUCCAAUUUCACUUCCUGUGGGCUUGCUCUUGCAGGCCAGAAGGAAGACGAGCACUGCCUGGCAGGGAGUGCAGUGCCAUGAGGUACAGCUGGGCUAUCCUCUCUGUCGCUGGGCAAGGACACCAGCUGCCAGUUCACAGAGAGCAACUCCCACUGUUUCUCAUCGUGGGGAUUUCUCUGGACCCUUUCCUCAGAUCUUUUGUUAAGCCAGCUGUUAAACAACACCACCAAAAAUAAAUAAAUGAAAAAAUCAAAU